rnacentral:rRNA from 1 species
UACGUAGGAUCCAAGCGUUGUCCGGAUUUACUGGGUGUAAAGGGUGCGCAGGCGGACUGGUUAGUCUGGGGUGAAAUCUCAUCGCUUAACGGUGAAACUGCCUUAGAUACUGCCAGUCUUGAAUCAGCGAGAGGUUCGUGGAAUUCCGAGUGUAGCAGUGAAAUGUGUAGAUAUUCGGAAGAACACCAGUGGCGAAGGCAGCGAACUGGCGCUCGAUUGACGCUCAGGCACGGAAAGCAAUGGGGAUCAAACAGG